rnacentral:rRNA from 1 species
GAUGAACGCUGGCGGCGUGCUUAACACAUGCAAGUCGAACGGAAAGGCUCCUGCUUGCAGGGGUACUCGAGUGGCGAACGGGUGAGUAACACGUGGGUGAUCUGCCCUGCACUUCGGGAUAAGCCUGGGAAACUGGGUCUAAUACCGGAUAGGACGAUGGUUUGGAUGCCAUUGUGGAAAGUUUUUCGGUGUGGGAUGAGCUCGCGGCCUAUCAGCUUGUUGGUGGGGUAAUGGCCUACCAAGGCGUCGACGGGUAGCCGGCCUGAGAGGGUGUACGGCCACAUUGGGACUGAGAUACGGCCCAGACUCCUACGGGAGGCAGCAGUGGGGAAUAUUGCACAAUGGGCGCAAGCCUGAUGCAGCGACGCCGCGUGGGGGAUGACGGCCUUCGGGUUGUAAACUACUUUCGCUAGGGACGAAGCGCAAGUGACGGUACCUGGAGAAGAAGCACCGGCUAACUACGUG